GUUUCCUCUUCCUGUUCCCAGAAGCCCUGGCCCGGCCCACGGCUCUGUCCCACGCGUGCCAGGCCUGGCCCAGCAGGAGCCUGCUGCUGUCCCCACGGGCUCCUGGGGCCUCUGUCUGAGAGCCCAGAGGGACAGCUGCUGGGCCCAGGGCCACCAUGGUGCCGUCCACCCCAGGACGGCCAGGGCCUGGUGCCAGGCGGCCGGCGCAGCUCCCUGCCCAUCAGAGGGAGGCUCCAUGCGGCAUUGCACAAACCUGAGCUUGACAUCGGCCUCCUCUGCAGCACGCGCCUGCUGCAGGGACCCCGAGAACCAGUGCCCGGCCUGCGGGGACGACUGCGGCCAGCAUCUUGGGGCAAAGACGAAAGGUGCAGAAGGCAGAUCCUGGAGUCCAGAGCUGCGUGGGCCACGUCCUGGGGACUGGAGUGACCGAGCUGCACCAAGCGGGGACCUCAGAAAGAGUCGCCCUUCCCCAGAGGCCGGGAGGGGACACGGCAGCCAGCGAUCAUGGUCUUCAUUUACCAUUUUGGAGCUGAUCGAUGAGCCCGCUGGCCCGGGCUUUCCGCUCACUCCCCACCGUGCAAAGGACGCACACGGGGUCAAGGUCACUGCAGUGAGGGGCGGCCGGGCGGCGCCUCUGACCCUCGGGCCUUUGGAUGGACCCCUCUCUCUGCUCUGAAGUGUUCACUUCC
rnacentral:lncRNA from 1 species